CCAGACUCCUACGGGAGGCAGCAGUAAGGAAUAUUGCGCAAUGGGCGAAAGCCUGACGCAGCGACGCCGCGUGGGGGAUGAAGGUCUUCGGAUUGUAAACCCCUUUCGGGAGGGAAGAUGGAAUGGGGUAACCCAUUCGGACGGUACCUCCAGAAGCAGCCACGGCUAACUUCGUGCCAGCAGCCGCGGUAAUACGAAGGUGGCAAGCGUUAUUCGGAUUUACUGGGCGUACAGGGAGCGUAGGCGGUUCGGUAAGCCCUUUGUGAAAUCUCCAGGCUUAACCUGGAACAGUCGGAGGGGACUGCCGGGCUAGAGGACGGGAGAGGAGCGCGGAAUUCCCGGUGUAGCGGUGAAAUGCGUAGAGAUCGGGAGGAAGGCCGGUGGCGAAGGCGGCGCUCUGGAACGUUUCUGACGCUGAGGCUCGAAAGCGUGGGGAGCAAACAGGAUUAGAUACCCUGGUAGUCCACGCCUUAAACUAUGAAUACUAAGUGUCGGCGGGUUACCGCCGGUGCCGCAGCUAACGCAU
rnacentral:rRNA from 1 species